rnacentral:tRNA from 1 species
GGGCCGGUAGUUCAGUGGCAGAACGCCUCAUUUGCAAUGAGGAGGUCGCGGGUUCGAUUCCCGCCCGGUCCA